CUGCGUGUUCCCAAGGGCUGCAGCUGGUUGUAGCUGUGGGAUCCCCAACUGCAUGCGAGAGCAGCUGGGAGAGGCUCUGACAGCUGAGGUCAGCAUAGCACCUGCAGCUGCCACUCAGCUUUCCCUUAGCA